rnacentral:rRNA from 1 species
GCCCUUGAGUUUGAUCCUGGCUCAGAACGAACGCUGGCGGCGUGGAUUAGGCAUGCAAGUCGAACGAGAAUCUGGAGGUUCAAGUUUUCGGACAAGAACUUUCGGAGGACAGUGGCGGAAGGGUGAGGAAUACAUGGGCAAUCUAUCUUCAAGUUGGGUAUAACUCUGCGAAAGUGGAGAUAAUACCGAAUGUGGUGAUCCGGCGCAUGCCGGAGAAUCUAAAGGCGGGGACCGCAAGGCCUGCCGCUUGGAGCUGAGCCCGUGCACUAUCAGCUAGUUGGUGAGGUAACGGCCCACCAAGGCUAUGACGGUUAGCUGGUCUGAGAGGAUGGUCAGCCACACUGGGACUGAGAUACUGCCCAGACUCCUACGGGAGGCUGCAGUCGAGAAUCAUUCGCAAUGGGCGAAAGCCUGACGGUGCGACGUCGCGUGGAGGAUGAAGGUCUUCGGAUUGUAAACUCCUGUCAUGAGGGAUAAAUGGCCGGGGCACGAAUAGUGCCUUGGAAUGAUAGUACCUCAGGAGGAAGAGACGGCUAACUCUGUGCCAGCAGCCGCGGUAAUACAGAGGUCUCAAGCGUUGUUCGGAUUUACUGGGCGUAAAGGGAGCGUAGGCGGUUUGGUAUGUCGAAUGUGAAAGCCCACAACUCAACUGUGGAACUGCAUUCGAAAC